UUAUCAUUAAUCCCCAAAAUUAAUAUUUUAAUUAAACUAUUUCUUG
rnacentral:tRNA from 2 species